GUUGCUUUGGCUGAGUGGUUAAGGCGUGUGCUUGCUAAGUACAUGGGGUUUCCUCAUGAGAGUUCGAAUCUCUCAAGCAACG
rfam:Ipomoea nil DNA, scaffold: scaffold1525, cultivar: Tokyo-kokei standard.